CUUUGGCUUUUUCGUAUAAUCGAUAACCGAAUCGAUAAGCCCCAAAAAUCGAUUAAUCGAAAUCGAGAAAAUCGAAACCUUAUUGAAACGAUAACGAUAAGCAUAUGUACAAAUCGAAAUCGAAAAAAUCAAAAUCGAAACCUUAUUGAAACGAUAACGAUAAGCAGAUGUAUAAAUCGAUAAUCGAUAAGUAAUUAUCGAUAAGGGUCAAAACCGAAUCGAUAAAUCGAAUGCACAUCCCUAAAAGAGAUCAUAAAAGUAAAUCAAAAGUUUUAACAAUCACCAUAUCAUCAAAUAAACGAACCAUAUAAUCUUUCACAUAAUUCCAUAACUUAGUUUGGAGUACUUGAUAUUGUUCAUCAUCUUUCAUAAUACCACCGCUUCCUCGAGCCGAGUCUGAUCACGAUCCGAUCGGCUAGGUUGCCUCA
rnacentral:lncRNA from 1 species